AUACUCUGGUUUCACUUUGGAUAGAAUAAAUCUUCUGCCUUUUACGAAAAAUUUCCGUGGACAGGAGCCACUCUUGAGUUUUUGGUCAAUUGUUUGAGGUUUUGCUUUGGCGAGGCU
rnacentral:snRNA from 1 species